UGACAUUAGUCAAGUGGUAGGGGAGCGUUCUGUAAGCCGAUGAAGGUGUAUUGAGAAGUAUGCUGGAGGUAUCAGAAGUGCGAAUGCUGACGUGAGUAACGACAAAACGGGUGAAAAACCCGUUCGCCGAAAGACCAAGGGUUCCAGUCCAACGUUAAUCGGGGCUGGGUGAGUCGACCCCUAAGGCGAGGCCGAAAGGCGUAGUCGAUGGGAAAAUGGUUAAUAUUCCAUUACUUCUGUGUAAUGCGAUGAGAGGACGGAGAAGGCUAAAUCAGCCUGGCGUUGGUUGUCCAGGUGAAAGGAUGUAGGCAUGUAUCUUAGGCAAAUCCGGGGUACUCUAUGCUGAGAUCUGAUAGCAAGCUGUACUUGUACAGCGAAGUGGUUGAUGCCAUGCUUCCAGGAAAAGUCUCUAAGCUUCAGUUACACAGGAAUCGUACCCGAAACCGACACAGGUGGUCAGGUCGAGUAGACCAAGGCGCUUGAGAGAACUCUGCUGAAGGAACUAGGCAAAAUGGUACCGUAACUUCGGGAGAAGGUACGCUGUUGUUGGUGAUGGAACUCGCUUCCUGAGCUGACGACAGCCGCAGAAACCAGGCCGCUGCAACUGUUUAUUAAAAACAUAGCACUCUGCAAACACGAAAGUGGACGUAUAGGGUGUGAUGCCUGCCCGGUGCUGGAAGGUUAAUUGAUGGGGUUAGCGUAAGCGAAGCUCUUGAUCGAAGCCCCAGUAAACGGCGGCCGUAACUAUAACGGUCCUAAGGUAGCGAAAUUCCUUGUCGGGUAAGUUCCGACCUGCACGAAUGGCAUAAUGAUGGCGGCGCUGUCUCCAGCAGAGGCUCAGUGAAAUCGAAAUCGCUGUGAAGAUGCAGUGUACCCGCGGCUAGACGGAAAGACCCCGUGAACCUUUACUGCAGCUUGACACUGAACUUUGACCUUACUUGUGUAGGAUAGGUGGGAGGCUUUGAAGCUGGAACGCUAGUUCCAGUGGAGCCGUCCUUGAAAUACCACCCUGGUAAUGUUGAGGUUCUAACUCUGUCCCGUGAUCCGGGACGAGGACCGUGUCUGGUGGGUAGUUUGACUGGGGCGGUCUCCUCCUAAAGAGUAACGGAGGAGUACGAAGGUGCGCUCAGCGUGGUCGGAAAUCACGCGUAGAGUAUAAAGGCAAAAGCGCGCUUAACUGCGAGACCCACAAGUCGAGCAGGUACGAAAGUAGGUCUUAGUGAUCCGGUGGUUCUGUAUGGAAGGGCCAUCGCUCAACGGAUAAAAGGUACUCUGGGGAUAACAGGCUGAUACCGCCCAAGAGUUCAUAUCGACGGCGGUGUUUGGCACCUCGAUGUCGGCUCAUCUCAUCCUGGGGCUGAAGCAGGUCCCAAGGGUAUGGCUGUUCGCCAUUUAAAGAGGUACGCGAGCUGGGUUUAGAACGUCGUGAGACAGUUCGGUCCCUAUCUACCGUGGGCGCUGGAAAUUUGAGAGGAUCUGCUCCUAGUACGAGAGGACCAGAGUGGACGAACCUCUGGUGUACCGGUUGUGACGCCAGUCGCAUCGCCGGGUAGCUAUGUUCGGAAGGGAUAACCGCUGAAAGCAUCUAAGCGGGAAGCCUACCUCAAGAUAAGAUUUCCCUAGGACUUUAUGUCCUCUAAAGAGCCGUUCGAGACUAGGACGUUGAUAGGUUGGAUGUGGAAGCAUAGUGAUAUGUGAAGCUGACCAAUACUAAUUGCUCGUGAGGCUUGACU
rnacentral:rRNA from 1 species